rnacentral:rRNA from 1 species
UACGUAGGGGGCUAGCGUUGUCCGGAAUCAUUGGGCGUAAAGAGCGUGUAGGCGGUCCGGUAAGUCCGCUGUGAAAGUCGGGGGCUCAACCCUCGAAUGCCGGUGGAUACUGUCGGGCUAGAGUGCGGAAGAGGCGAGUGGAAUUCCUGGUGUAGCGGUGAAAUGCGUAGAUAUCGGAAGGAACACCAGUGGCGAAGGCGACUUACUGGACACAUAUUGAACGCUGAGGUGGCGAAAGCGUGGGGAGCAAACAGG